rnacentral:rRNA from 1 species
UACGUAGGGUGCAAGCGUUAAUCGGAAUUACUGGGCGUAAAGCGUGCGCAGGCGGUGAUGUAAGACAGAUGUGAAAUCCCCGGGCUCAACCUGGGAACUGCAUUUGUGACUGCAUCGCUGGAGUGCGGCAGAGGGGGAUGGAAUUCCGCGUGUAGCAGUGAAAUGCGUGGAUAUGCGGAGGAACACCGAUGGCGAAGGCAAUCCCCUGGGCCUGCACUGACGCUCAUGCACGAAAGCGUGGGGAGCAAACAGG